GAGCCCUGAGGGGCCGCCCGCGCUGAGGGAGGAGUGCCUUGGGGCCGCACCGCAACAUCGACGCUCGUGUGGUCGUGGUGACUGCUGAAAAUUAGGAAUGCUUGGACAAGAUCAGUCUGAAGAGCAGCGUGGUGCAAAGUGCAGGUGUGGAGCUGUGCAGAACAGCAUGUCAGCACACAAGUGCAGCCUAAUUUCACUUCUGUUGAUGGAUUAGACCAGAGCUGCUUGGUCUGAAGUCCAGAUUCACGUUUCCAAUCCUUACAGCCCCACCCACGUUUGGUC